UUGACAUUCAGGACCUAGGUACAAAUUUGGGAGACUAUAUUACAAUAUAUAUUAUUGACACUGCCCACUGGAACAAUGUACCAAUAUUUAUCUACUAUGUAUAGCAUAGUGCCCUACUAUACGAUGUGAUCAGGCAUUGGAGGCAAUUAGCUGAAUAUGUGUUUAAUCUAAGAUGUAUCAUUUAUUAAUUGAUACAGUUAGGCUUUGUGUUCCCACCCAAAUCUCAUCUUGAAUUGUAAUCCCCAUAACACCACGUGUCAAGAGAGGGACCUGGUGGAAACUGAUUGAAACAUUUGGGUGGUCCCCCUAUGCUGUUAUGAUAGUGAGUGAGUUAUGAGAUCACAUGGGUUUAUAAGUGGCAGUUUCCCCUGCUCUUCUCUCUCUCUUGCCACCUUGUGAAGAAGGUGCUUGCUUCCCCUUUGCCUUCCACCAUGAUUGUAAGAUUCCUGAGGCUUUCCCAGCUGUGUGGAAAUAAUACUUUCCAUCCAUGGUUGGUUGAAUCCACGGACACAGAACCCACAGAUAUGAAGGGUUGAGUAUACCUGAUAAUGGGAUCGGAGUUAGGUCAAUACAAUCUAGUGAGUGGGGAAGCUACUGAUGAAGUUCACAUAGUCAUCCUUCAAUGGCAGAGGUCUAGAAGGUGAAGAGUGAAGACUCACUUUGGAAAGAUAAACCAAAGGUAUUUCUGAGCUCUGAAAAUAUUUUGCUACUCGGAUUGAGCCUGGACACUAGAAGAAUGCUGCUCAACAAAUGUUAAACAAUAGUGGGGUUUAUCAUCUACUCUCCUCCUUGAUCUUCCACAUCUGCUCUUGUGCUGCUCGGUUUAACUUUAUAGACUAUUCUGAAAACUAAUGAUUCCUAAAGGUUAAGGUUUUUCAAUAAAUAUAAAGUCAUGAAUAUUAGUUUUCUCCUUUAUAGUUUCAUGGUCUAUAAUGAAUUUCAGUUCAAGCAUUUUUCCUUACUUAAUAACAACGAAGGUUAAGGAUGUUUAUUUCUUGUCAAGGCCUUAUUAAUAAUCAUUAUGAAGCACAAUCAAGACAUCUCAAAGGUUAGCAGUAUUGGUGAUUCUGCA
rnacentral:lncRNA from 1 species